rnacentral:rRNA from 1 species
GAUCGUGUCAGGAUGAACGCUGGCGGCGUGCCUAAUACAUGCAAGUCGAACGGAGUGGAUGGAAGCUUGCUUCCUGAUACUUAGUGGCGAACGGGUGAGUAACACGUAGGUAACCUGCCCUUAAGUUGGGAUACCCAGAGGAAACUUUGGCUAAUACCGGAUAACAACAGAAGAGGCAUCUCUUCAGUUUGAAAGGCCCUUUACGGGGUCACUUAAGGAUGGACCUGCGGCGCAUUAGCUAGUUGGUGAGAUAACAGCCCACCAAGGCGAGGAUGCGUAGCCGACCUGAGAGGGUGAUCGGCCACAUUGGAACUGAGACACGGUCCAAACUCCUACGGGAGGCAGCAGUAAGGAGUUUUCGGCAAUGGGGGAAACCCUGACCGAGCAACGCCGCGUGAGUGAUGACGGCCCUAUGGGUUGUAAAGCUCUGUUAGAUAAGGACGAAUGACUAGCUUAGGAAAUGAAGUUAGUUUGACGGUACUUUUCAAGAAAGCCACGGCUAACUACGUGCCAGCAGCUGC